rnacentral:rRNA from 1 species
ACGGGUGAGUAACACGUAUCCAACCUGCCGUCUACUCUUGGACAGCCUUCUGAAAGGAAGAUUAAUCCAGGAUGGCAUCAUGAGUUCACAUGUCCGCAUGAUUAAGGUAUUCCGGUAGACGAUGGGGAUGCGUUCCAUUAGAUAGUAGGCGGGGUAACGGCCCACCUAGUCUUCGAUGGAUAGGGGUUCUGAGAGGAAGGUCCCCCACAUUGGAACUGAGACACGGUCCAA